rnacentral:rRNA from 1 species
AUUGAACGCUGGCGGCAGGCCUAACACAUGCAAGUCGAGCGGAUGAAGGGAGCUUGCUCCUGGAUUCAGCGGCGGACGGGUGAGUAAUGCCUAGGAAUCUGCCUGGUAGUGGGGGAUAACGUCCGGAAACGGGCGCUAAUACCGCAUACGUCCUGAGGGAGAAAGUGGGGGAUCUUCGGACUUCACGCUAUCAGAUGAGCCUAGGUCGGAUUAGCUAGUUGGUGGGGUAAAGGCCUACCAAGGCGACGAUCCGUAACUGGUCUGAGAGGAUGAUCAGUCACACUGGAACUGAGACACGGUCCAGACUCCUACGGGAGGCAGCAGUGGGGAAUAUUGGACAAUGGGCGAAAGCCUGAUCCAGCCAUGCCGCGUGUGUGAAGAGGGUCUUCGGAUUGUAAAGCACUUUAAGUUGGGAGGAAGGGCAGUAAGUUAAUACCUUGCUGUUUUGACGUUACCAACAGAAUAAGCACCGGCUAACUUCGUG